ensembl:lincRNA D930028M14Rik RIKEN cDNA D930028M14 gene
CUUCUCAAGAGCUCCCCAAUAUUCCUCCAAAGUCAGAUGGUGACCCCUCUGGACCUCCUGUUGGCCAGACUCAAAGGAAGAGGAAACACUCAGGAAGGGAUGGAGAGAUGGACAGAGCUGAAUGCCUGUGGGAAGCACGGAGAGAAGCAGAGGACUAUGGGAGGCCAGGAGCAGGAGACCUGAGGGCCUGGUGAGCGGCACAGACCUCUGCACUCGGUGAGAUUCCCAGCAGGCCUAGCUCCAAGCUCCCAGGGUUACUCUGAGGUCUGCCUAUGUUGCGGAUCAGAGCUCUGAAUUCUCAGCCUGCCUUAAUUUGCUGUGGGACUGUCCAGGAUUCCAGGGACUCACGGAUCCUAGCCUGAUAAAGUCACUGAAGACUCUGCCUCAACCGGUCCUGGGUUGUUCUUCCAAGUCACCUCCUUAGACCCAGCGAUGCAAGGCUUGUCCCCCACAAGUGAACUCCAGCUCCUGAGAUCUUCAGGGCUACUGCACG